rnacentral:rRNA from 1 species
UACGUAGGGUGCGAGCGUUGUCCGGAUUUAUUGGGUUUAAAGGGUGCGUAGGUGGCCUGUUAAGUCAGGGGUGAAAGACGGUAGCUUAACUAUCGCAGUGCCCUUGAUACUGAUGGGCUUGAAUGAACUAGAGGUAGGCGGAAUGUGACAAGUAGCGGUGAGAUGCAUAGAUAUGUCACAGAACACCAAUUGCGAAGGCAGCUUACUAUGGUUUUAUUGACACUGAGGCACGAAAGCGUGGGGAUCAAACAGG